rnacentral:rRNA from 1 species
UGGGGAAUAUUGCACAAUGGAGGGAACUCUGAUGCAGCGACGCCGCGUGAACGAAGAAGGCUUUCGAGUCGUAAAGUUCUUUUAUAUGGGAAGAUAAUGACGGUACCAUAAGAAAAAGCCCCGGCUAACUACGUGCCAGCAGCCGCGGUAAUACGUAGGGGGCUAGCGUUGUCCGGAAUCACUGGGCGUAAAGGGUUCGCAGGCGGAAAUGCAAGUCAGGUGUAAAAGGCAGUAGCUUAACUACUGUAAGCAUUUGAAACUGCAUAUCUUGAGAAGAGGAGAGGUAAGGUGAAUUUUUAGUGUAGCGGUGAAAUGCGUAGAUAUUAAAAAGAAUACCGGUGGCGAAGGCGACUUACUGGGCUCAUACUGACGCUGAGGAACGAAAGCGUGGGUAGCAAACAGG